rnacentral:rRNA from 1 species
UAAAAACCCCGACUUCGGAAGGGGUGUAUUUAUUAGAUACAAAACCAAUGCCCUUCGGGGCUCUUUGGUGAUUCAUGAUAACUAUACGAAUCGCACGGCCUUGCGCCGGCGAUGGUUCAUUCAAAUUUCUUCCCUAUCAACUUUCGAUGUUUGGGUAUUGGCCAAACAUGGUUGCAACGGGUAACGGAGGGUUAGGGCUCGACCCCGGAGAAGGAGCCUGAGAAACGGCUACUACAUCCAAGGAAGGCAGCAGGCGCGCAAAUUACCCAAUCCCGACUCGGGGAGGUAGUGACAAUAAAUACUGAUACAGGGCCCUUUCGGGCCUUGUAAUUGGAAUGAGUACAAUUUAAAUCCCUUAACGAGGAACAAUUGGAGGGCAAGUCUGGUGCCAGCAGCCGCGGUAAUUCCAGCUCCAAUAGCGUAUAUUAAAGUUGUUGUGGUUAAAAAGCUCGUAGUUGAACCUUGGGCCUGGCUGGCCGGUCCGCCUCACCGCGUGCACUGGUCCGGCCGGGCCUUUCCCUCUGUGGAACCCCAUACCCUUCACUGGGCGUGGCGGGGAAACAGGACAUUAUACUU